UUAUCUUUUUUUUCGCCUCCUAACAUCCUCGAGUGGCUUGAGAUGGCUGUGUCAAUAUACGUGUCUUGGCAGAAAAUAAAAGCUACAAAAGAAGUUACAAUAAUGUUUCUUUAAGACAGCCCAGGGUCAGCCUGUCCCCUUGUUCAUUCGGGGCUUUUCUACACCCUCCCACUCGCACUCACCAGCCAGGGCUCCGGCACGGCCAGGCUGCUCACCCAGCGCUUGUGAGAGCCAUUGCAGUGCACAGAUUUAAAGGAUGCUUUUGAAAUGGCUCCAGCAAAACUGACCUGGGAUCUCCUCAGUAGGGCCAGGCAGAGAUCUUACAGGCUACAAGCACAGGCAGUAGGCCGAAUAUCCUACACACACAAUUUCAAUUCAUCGGGGUUUCUGUGCAGGACGAUGGGCACGAAGAGCACCUGAUAAAAGGUUGGGACUUCUGGGAUGUUCUUGACAUCAACCUGCAAAAUGGCCACAGCUUGGAGGGACACCUGACCUUUUGCCACCAGGUGAGUGACAAAACCCUGUAGCUGUUUGGUUUAAUAACUGUGAAUCAUUUCUGGUUAGAACCUGAUGCUAACAACUGCACAUCUAUUCUAGCUGGGGAACUUCUUAUCAUUUAAAUAAUGAAAACAGCAGCUAUUCUUCUUCAACUCCUGUCAGCCUGAAAGGUACUGUUUCUAUGUUGAAAAUAGUUCCUUCCUCACUCCCUCCCUCCCCCUUACUCAAAAAUCCACUACCAUGUGUUUAUACUAAAAGAGACUAAACAACCAGUUUUUCUUGCCAAGUGUUUAAUUUACUAAUAAAACUUUAUGUGUUUUUGUGGCCCCUCUGACU
rnacentral:lncRNA from 1 species